rnacentral:piRNA from 1 species
UUUCUCGUUGGAAAUCUGUAG